AAGCAGAAUUUUGACCACGAUAUAACUGUUCAGUGCAGUGUUGUCAUUCCUUCUGCUAAAAAUAAUGUUGUUUCUUAUCUAUCUCUGUCUGCUAAACUCAAGUAGCAUCCUGGGACACUUGUUCUCAUACAU
rnacentral:snoRNA from 1 species